rnacentral:rRNA from 1 species
UACGUAGGUGGCGAGCGUUGUCCGGAUUUACUGGGCGUAAAGAGCGCGCAGGCGGUCGUGCAAGUCGCGUGUGAAAGCCCCCGGCUCAACUGGGGAGGGUCACGCGAUACUGCUCGACUUGAAGGCAGGAGAGGGAAGUGGAAUUCCCGGUGUAGUGGUGAAAUGCGUAGAUAUCUGGAGGAACACCGGUGGCGAAGGCGGCAUCCUGGACCAAAACUGACGCUGAAUAGCGAAAGCCAAGGGGAGCAAACGGG